AGAGUUUGAUCCUGGCUCAGGACGAACGCUGGCGGCGUGCUUAACACAUGCAAGUCGGGCGGUAAGGCCCUUCGGGGUACACGAGCGGCGAACGGGUGAGUAACACGUGGGUGACCUGCCCUUAGCUCUGGGAUAAGCCCGGGAAACUGGGUCUAAUACCGGAUAUGACCUCGGAUCGCAUGGUCUUGGGUGGAAAGUUUUUCGGCUAGGGAUGGGCCCGCGGCCUAUCAGCUUGUUGGUGGGGUGAUGGCCUACCAAGGCGACGACGGGUAGCCGGCCUGAGAGGGCGACCGGCCACACUGGGACUGAGACACGGCCCAGACUCCUACGGGAGGCAGCAGUGGGGAAUAUUGCGCAAUGGGCGGAAGCCUGACGCAGCGACGCCGCGUGGGGGAUGACGGCCUUCGGGUUGUAAACCUCUUUCGACCUCGACGAAGCGUAAGUGACGGUAGGGGUAGAAGAAGCACCGGCCAACUACGUGCCAGCCGCCGCGGUAAUUC
rnacentral:rRNA from 1 species